rnacentral:rRNA from 1 species
AGAAUCAACGCUGGCGGCGUGCCUAACACAUGCAAGUCGAACGAGAAAGUGGAGCAAUCCAUGAGUAAAGUGGCGACCGGGUGAGUAACACGUGACUAACCUACCUUCGAGUGGGGGAUAACAUCGGGAAACCGAUGCUAAUACCGCAUAAUAUCGCAAGAUCAAAGCAGCAAUGCGCUGGAAGAGGGGGUCGCGGCUGAUUAGCUAGUUGGCGGGGUAACGGCCCACCAAGGCGAAGAUCGGUAGCCGGCCUGAGAGGGCGCACGGCCACACUGGAACUGAAACACGGUCCAGACUCCUACGGGAGGCAGCAGUGGGGAAUUUUGCGCAAUGGGGGAAACCCUGACGCAGCAACGCCGCGUGGAGGAUGAAGCCCCUUGGGCGUAAACUCCUUCGACCAAGACGAUAAUGACGGUACUGGUGGAAGAGCACCGGCUAACUCUGCGCCAGCAGCCGC